rnacentral:rRNA from 1 species
CCUACGGGAGGCAGCAGUGGGGAAUAUUGCACAAUGGGGGAAACCCUGAUGCAGCGACGCCGCGUGAGUGAAGAAGUAUUUCGGUACGUAAAGCCCUAUCAGCAGGGAAGAAAAUGACGGUACCUGACUAAGAAGCCCCGGCUAACUACGUGCCAGCAGCCGCGGUAAUACGUAGGGGGCAAGCGUUAUCCGGAUUUACUGGGUGUAAAGGGAGCGCAGGCGGUAGGGCACGUCAGAGGUGAAAUCCCAGGGCUUAACCAUGGGACUGCAUUGGAAACUGUCAGACUGGAGUGCAGGAGAGGUAAGCGGAAUUCCUAGUGUAGCGGUGAAAUGCGUAGAUAUUAGGAGGAACACCAGUGGCGAAGGCGGCUUACUGGACUGUAACUGACGUUGAGGCUCGAAAGCGUGGGGAGCAAACAGGAUUAGAUACCCUAGUAGUC